AGAAUUCUCUUCAUUUCUCUUCAUAUUCAUCAGCUGAAAAACAGCCAUGGAGGAGGGUUCAAGCUGGUUUUCAUACUCUAGCUUCAUGAUGUGGAUGGAGAGGAGGAGGAGGAAAAAUAUACAUAUAUAUGAAUGACUCGUGUAUAAAUUGAUCACAUGCCCGGUUAUAAUCGAUGAGUGUUGGAUUAGAAAUGAUAUAAUGUUUUAUUUGGAAUAUUUAUUAUGAAAUUAUGAUUAUCGUUAUAAUACAAAAA